rnacentral:rRNA from 1 species
UUCAACGGAGAGUUUGAUCCUGGCUCAGGACGAACGCUGGCGGCGUGCUUAACACAUGCAAGUCGAACGGUAAGGCCCUUCGGGGUACACGAGUGGCGAACGGGUGAGUAACACGUGGGUGAUCU